GAACGAAUGGUGCGGUGAUAGCACAGCAAUCCGGUAAUCUGUGGACGAUGGGUUCGAUUCCCUCUUGGUUCA